rnacentral:rRNA from 1 species
AUACGGAGGAUGCAAGCGUUAUCCGGAUUUAUUGGGUUUAAAGGGUGCGUAGGCGGAUGAUUAAGCGUGAGGUGAAAUGCCACUGCUCAACAGUGGAACUGCCUCGCGAACUGGUUGUCUUGAAUGCUCCUGCCGUGGGAGGAAUGUGUGGUGUAGCGGUGAAAUGCAUAGAGAUCACACAGAACACCGAUUGCGAAGGCAUCUCACGAAGGGGUGAUUGACGUUGAGGCACGAAAGCGUGGGGAUCAAACAGGAUUAGAUACCCUGGUAGUCCACGCAGUAAACGAUGAUAACUAGGUGUCCGUGGGUAUGACCCAUGGGUGCCGCAGCCAACGCAAUAAGUGAUCCACCUGGGGAGUACGUUCGCAAGAAUGAAACUCAAAUGAAUUGGCGGGG